rnacentral:rRNA from 1 species
GACGAACCGUACGAACGUUAUUCGGAAUCACUGGGCUUAAAGGGUGCGUAGGCGGUGCGGAAAGUUGGGUGUGAAAUCCCUCGGCUCAACCGAGGAAUUGCGCCCAAAACUACCGUGCUAGAGGGAGACAGAGGUGAGUGGAACUUAGGGUGGAGCGGUGAAAUGCGUUGAUAUCCUAAGGAACACCAGUGGCGAAAGCGACUCACUGGGUCUCUUCUGACGCUGAGGCACGAAAGCUAGGGGAGCAAACGGG